GCUGUCUGCUAGAGGACUUUCCACACAGAACCCGUCCACCUAAGGGACUCGUGUCUACAUCCUGAUUCUCAGGGUCUUGGAGCCACUGCUACCUUUAGGCAACUCUCCUUCUCUCACCCCAGCACUUGUGUCAACCCCUAUCUCCUCUCUCCUUGGAGCAGCCAGCUAAAGUCUCCUCCCACAUGAGGGUCUGGACAGGACUGUACAACAGGUGUCUCACAACUUCUCCUUGGGUUCAGGAAACAUGAAAGCCAUUAAUAACUCCUGAACCCAGAAGCCCAGACCUUCCUGUAAGACAAAUGAGGAAAGAUUAGGGCACAGUUCUGAGUGUUAAUCCAUGUGAAGGCUGCCUCAAGAAAGCUGAUUCCCUUAGGCAGCACCUGGUACCAGAGAAAUUCACAGUACCUGAAGCUGGGAUCUGGGGUUCCCAUACCCAAGCCACAUCAAGGUACCAGUCAAUUCAUGCAUUUUAUUGGCCCUGACAUUAGGUUUGGAGUGUGGGCUUGAGGGUAUAAAAAUUCAGGUAACCCAUUCCCAUCACAUUCUAUGUCACUGAAAAUUCUUCAGGCGCCACAGAAUAUCGUGUAAAUGAGACCCCCACCCCCACCCCCCACACCCCCCAAGCUGCACAGCACUGAUCUCUGGGUAUAAGCAGCAAGCCCAUGAAAUCUAGAGAAAUUCCUCCUCAUCUCUCCAGUCACUGUUCAGCUAAUACGUUUUCCUUCUUUUGGUAAGAGUCCUGCUUUCCCAUAGGAACUGGAAUCUGGGAGAAAGGAAAACAGUACUAGAAGCAGAACAAGAGUGUGGGAUCACUCCUGGGUGGUACUGUCACCUCAUUUGGACAGUUCACUGCCUAGAUGUGCUGAGUGUGCAAAUUCUGUCUCGUUGCCUCAUCCAGUGUUUCUCUGAAUAGAAGCAAAUAUCUGGGCACCAGACUCUCUCCUGGCUUUGAUGAAGCAAGCUGCCAUGUUGGAGAGGCCUACAUGACAAGGAACUGAAGGUUGCCUCCGGCCAACUCCAGCCAACAGCCAUCCAGGAAUUGAGGCUCUCAGUCCAACAGGCCUUGAGGAACUGCAUCCAGCCAGCAGCUAUAGAAGUGAGCGAAAGAAGUGUGUAUUUCCCCAGUCAAGCCUUCAGCUGAGACCCCAGCCCCAGCUGCCACCUUAAUUGCAGCCUUGUGAGAGACCUUGGAGCAGAGAACCCAGGUAGGCCUUGCCUAGAUCCCUCACCAACAGAAACUAUGAAUUAAUAAAUACUUGGUUUUUUAAGCCACUAA